rnacentral:rRNA from 1 species
ACGGGGUGCAGCAGGCGCGAAAACUCUACAAUGCAGGCAACUGCGAUAGGGGAACAUCGAGUGAUACUCAUCUUGGGUGUCUGUCCCACCGUCUAAAAAACGGUGGUUAGCAAGGGCCGGGCAAGACCGGUGCCAGCCGCCGCGGUAAUACCGGCGGCUCGAGUGGUGGCCGAUAUUAUUGAGUCUAAAGGGUCCGUAGCCGGCUUUGCAAGUCUUUUGGGAAAUCCAGCGGCUUAACCGUUGGUCGUCCGGGAGAUACUACAUUGCUUGGGACUGGGAGAGGUAGGAGGUACUCAGGGGGUAGGAGUGAAAUCCUGUAAUCCUUUGGGGACCACCGGUGGCGAAGGCGUCCUACCAGAACAGGUCCGACGGUGAGGGACGAAAGCUAGGGGCACGAACCGGAUUAGAUACCCGGGUAGUCCUAGCCGUAAACGAUGCUCGCUAGGUGUCACAACAAUCGUGAAUUGUUGUGGUGCCGUAGGGAAGCCGUGAAGCGAGCCACUUGGGAAGUACGACCGCAAGGUUGAAACUUAAAGGAAUUGGCGGGGGAGCA